rnacentral:rRNA from 1 species
UACGUAGGGGGCAAGCGUUGUCCGGACUCAUUGGGCGUAAAGCGCGCGUAGGUGGCCCGGUAAGUCCGCUCUGAAAGUCAAAGGCUCAACCUUUGAAAGCGGGUGGAUACUGUCGGGCUAGAGUCCGGAAGAGGCGAGUGGAAUUCCUGGUGUAGCGGUGAAAUGCGCAGAUAUCAGGAGGAACACCGGUGGCGAAGGCGGGUCUCUGGGCCGAUACUGACGCUGAGGAGCGAAAGCGCGGGGAGCGAACAGG